AGAAAGGCGGAGUAUAAACUAAUGGAUAGGUUUUUUCCACUCAUUGGUACAAACUCCAAAACUUCUUCCAAAUUCGACCUCAAAUCAGGUAGGACUACCCGCUGAACUUAAGCAUAUCAAUAAGCGGAGGAAAAGAAACCAACAGGAUUGCCUUAGUAGCGGCGAGUGAAGCGGCAAAAGCUCAAAUUUGAAAUCUGGCACUUUCAGUGUCCGAGUUGUAAUUUGAAGAAGGUAUCUUUGGGUCUGGCUCUUGUCUAUGUUUCUUGGAACAGAACGUCACAGAGGGUGAGAAUCCCGUGCGAUGAGAUGUCCCAGACCUAUGUAAAGUUCCUUCGAAGAGUCGAGUUGUUUGGGAAUGCAGCUCUAAGUGGGUGGUAAAUUCCAUCUAAAGCUAAAUAUUGGCGAGAGACCGAUAGCGAACAAGUACAGUGAUGGAAAGAUGAAAAGAACUUUGAAAAGAGAGUGAAAAAGUACGUGAAAUUGUUGAAAGGGAAGGGCUUGAGAUCAGACUUGGUAUUUUGUAUGUUACUCUCUCGGGGGUGGCCUCUACAGUUUACCGGGCCAGCAUCAGUUUGAGCGGUAGGAUAAGUGCAAAGAAAUGUGGCACUGCUUCGGUAGUGUGUUAUAGUCUUUGUCGAUACUGCCAGCUUAGACUGAGGACUGCGGCUUCGGCCUAGGAUGUUGGCAUAAUGAUCUUAAGUCGCCCGUCUUGAAACACGGACCAAGGAGUCUAACGUCUAUGCGAGUGUUUGGGUGUAAAACCCGUACGCGUAAUGAAAGUGAACGUAGGUAGGACCUCCUUUAGGAGUGCACUAUCGACCGAUCCUGAUGUCUUCGGAUGGAUUUGAGUAAG
rnacentral:rRNA from 1 species